rnacentral:rRNA from 1 species
GAUGAACGCUGGCGGCGUGCCUAAUACAUGCAAGUCGAGCGAACAGACGAGGAGCUUGCUCCUCUGACGUUAGCGGCGGACGGGUGAGUAACACGUGGAUAACCUACCUAUAAGACUGGGAUAACUUCGGGAAACCGGAGCUAAUACCGGAUAAUAUAUUGAACCGCAUGGUUCAAUAGUGAAAGACGGUUUUGCUGUCACUUAUAGAUGGAUCUGCGCCGCAUUAGCUAGUUGGUAAGGUAACGGCUUACCAAGGCGACGAUGCGUAGCCGACCUGAGAGGGGGAUCGGCCACACUGGAACUGAGACACGGUCCAGACUCCUACGGGAGGCAGCAGUAGGGAAUCUUCCGCAAUGGGCGAAAGCUUGACGGAGCAACGCCGCGUGAGUGAUGAAGGUCUUCGGAUCGUAAAACUCUGUUAUUAGGGAAGAACAAAUGUGUAAGUAACUAUGCACGUCUUGACGGUACCUAAUCAGAAAGCCACGGCUAACUACGU